rnacentral:rRNA from 1 species
GGACUACUGGGGUUUCUAAUCCUGUUUGAUCCCCACGCCUUCGUGCAUGAGCGUCAGUUAUAGUUUAGUAAGCUGCCUGCGCAAUCGGAGUUCCUCGUGAUAUCUAUGCAUUUCACCGCUACACCACAAAUUCCGCCUACUUCAUCUAUACUCAAGUCUUCCAGUUUCGAAGGCACUUUUACGGUUGAGCCGCAAAAUUUCACCGCCGACUUAAAAAACCGCCUGCGCACCCUUUAAACCCAAUAAAUCCGGAUAACGCUCGAAUCCUCCGUAUUACCGCGGCUGCUGGCAC